rnacentral:rRNA from 1 species
ACUCCUACGGGAGGCAGCAGUAGGGAAUUUUCCGCAAUGGACGAAAGUCUGACGGAGCAAUGCCGCGUGAGUGAUGAAGGUUUUCGAAUCGUAAAGCUCUGUUGUUAAGGGAAGAAUAGCAAGAAUAGGAAAUGAUUCUUGUCUGACGGUACCUUACCAGAAAGCCACGGCUAACUACGUGCCAGCAGCCGCGGUAAUACGUAGGUGGCAAGCGUUAUCCGGAAUUAUUGGGGCGU